CCCGCUCUCCCCGCCGCCCGGCUCCCGCGCCCACUCCGCGGCCCGACCUCCCUGGGAGGCUCAGCCGGAUCAUAAGACCGGCCGGCCCGGGGGAGACGGCAACUUCGCGGAGGGCAGCCUCGGAUGAUUAUUCUUCAGUGAAAAUGAGUAGCAAUGAAAUAUAAUUUAUCACAGUGAUGGACUGAUAUUACAAGUAACAAGAUAAAAUCUGAAAGAGGUGGCUGCAACUAAAUAAAGUGCCUAUAAAACUUUUAAAUGACAUAGUGCUAAGCUUCAGGAAAGAAAUACAGCACAAGGCAAAAAUGGGUUUGGACCCAGGACCUUUGCACUGAGCUACAUCCCCAGCCCUUCUUAUUUUUCAUUUUGACACAAGGUUUCUCUAAGUUGCCCAGAUGGGAUUUGAACUUGUGGUCCUCCUGCUUUAACCUCCCAGAAUGCUGGGAUUAUAG
ensembl:lncRNA